rnacentral:tRNA from 1 species
UCGUUGCCUCAGGUUAGAGGAUCUGUCUUGUGAACAGAAGGCUUUUGUAAACAGAAGGUCGCUGAUUCGAUUCCAGUACGAGGCA